rnacentral:rRNA from 1 species
GACGAACGCUGGCGGCGUGCUUAACACAUGCAAGUCGAACGGAAAGGCCCUGCUUGCAGGGUACUCGAGUGGCGAACGGGUGAGUAACACGUGGGUGAUCUGCCCUGCACUUCGGGAUAAGCCUGGGAAACUGGGUCUAAUACCGGAUAGGAGCCAUUUUGAGUGUGAUGGUUGGAAAGUUUUUUCGGUGUAGGAUGAGCUCGCGGCCUAUCAGCUUGUUGGUGGGGGAAUGGCCUACCAAGGCGGCGACGGGUAGCCGGCCCGAGAGGGUGGACGGCCACAUUGGGACUGGGAUACGGCCCCGACUCCUUCCGGAGGCCGGCGUGGGGAAUUUUGCCCCAUGGGCCCGAGCCCGAUGCCGCGACGCCGCGUGGGGGAUGACGGCCUUCGGGUUGGAAACUCCUUUCGCUAGGGACGAAGCUUUUUGUGACGGUACCUAGAUAAGAAGCACCGGCUAACUACGUG